UGAAAAACCUUUUCAAAUAAAUUGUUUUAUUCAAUUUUUAUAAAAAUCUUCUUGAUAAAUGUGAAUAUAAGUUAAGGUGCAAUUGUUAAGUUUUGCAGUCAAUUUGUAAUCGUGGAUAAGUUAAGUUUAAACAAAACAUGUUGGCAUUUCAAAUUGUAAAAAUUUUUAUUGCAGUUUUGCUAAUGUUGUGCAUUAUUGCACAGAGUGCCACGGAGGAUACAACAGCAGCAGGCGAAACAACAACAACAACAGCAUCAGGCGAAACAACUACAACAACAACAGCAGCAUCCGCGAGUACAAAUUCAACUACGGAAACACCAUGCCUAACAGAUUUGUGUAAAAGGGGGCUAAAAGCAAAUAAGGGCUUGUUUGUAAUUAAUUUUUUUAAAAAAUAACUUUUGUUAUUCACAACUAUCGUAAAAAAACUUUGAAAAUAAUUAUUAAUAAAACUAAGCGCAAUCAUGUAUAUUCAUUUCAAAUAAACUUUAAAACUUGAUAUACAAGCAUUGAGAAUGUUUACAAAAAAACAAAUUUAACUGACCCUCCAGUUUAAAUUGCGAGGAAAGUUCUUCCUUCCAAUCCAAAAGCCUCUAUC